UACAGAGGGGGCAAGCGUUUGUUCGGAAUUACUGGGCGUAAAGGGCUCGUAGGCGGCCAACUAAGUCAGACGUGAAAUCCCUCGGCUUAACCGGGGAACUGCGUCUGAUACUGGAUGGCUUGAGAUUGGGAGAGGGAUGCGGAAUUCCAGGUGUAGCGGUGAGAUGCGUAGAUAUCUGGAGGAACACCGGUGGCGAAGGCGACAUCCUGGACCAAUACUGACGCUGAGGAGCGAAAGCCAGGGGAGCAAACGGG
rnacentral:rRNA from 1 species